AGAGUUUGAUCCUGGCUCAGGACGAACGCUGGCGGCGUGCUUAACACAUGCAAGUCAAGGGGACCCGCAAGGGUAACCGGCGAACGGGUGCGUAACACGUGAGCAACCUGCCGAUUUGUGGGGGAUAGCCGGCCCAACGGCCGGGUAAUACCGCAUACGCUUUUGGAGAGACAUCUCUCCUUGAGGAAACCUCCGGGGCAAAUCGAGGGGCUCGCGGCCUAUCAGCUAGUUGGCGGGGUAAUGGCCCACCAAGGCAGUGACGGGUAGCUGGUCUGAGAGGAUGGCCAGCCACAUUGGGACUGAGAAACGGCCCAGACUCCUACGGGAGGCAGCAGUGGGGAAUCUUGCGCAAUGGCCGAAAGGCUGACGCAGCGACGCCGCGUGUGGGAGGACGCCCUUCGGGGUGUAAACCACUGUUGCCCGGGACGAACUUCCGGUUUCGACCGGAUUGACGGUACCGGGUGAGGAAGCACCGGCUAACUCCGUGCCAGCAGCCGCGGUAAUACGGAGGGUGCGAGCGUUGUCCGGAAUUACUGGGCGUAAAGGGCGCGUAGGCGGCGCGAGCAGUCGGCGGUGAAAGCCCGGAGCUCAACUCCGGGUCGGCCGUCGAUACUCUCGUGCUUGAGCACUGUAGAGGCAGGUGGAAUUCCGGGUGUAGCGGUGGAAUGCGUAGAGAUCCGGAAGAACACCGGUGGCGAAGGCGGCCUGCUGGGCAGUAGCUGACGCUGAUGCGCGACAGCGUGGGGAGCAAACAGGAUUAGAUACCCUGGUAGUCCACGCCGUAAACGAUGGGCACUAGGUGCUUGGGGGAGCGACCCUCUGAGUGCCGGCGCUAACGCAUUAAGUGCCCCGCCUGGGGAGUACGGCCGCAAGGCUGAAACUCAAAUGAAUUGACGG
rnacentral:rRNA from 1 species